rnacentral:tRNA from 1 species
GGAGAUAUGGCUCAGUUGGUAGAGUGCUUGCCUUGCAUGCACAAGGCCCUGGGUUCAAUCCCCAGCAGUACCA